rnacentral:rRNA from 1 species
UACGUAGGGGGCAAGCGUUGUCCGGAUUUAUUGGGCGUAAAGAGCGCGCAGGCGGUCGUUCAAGUCGCGUGUGAAAGCCCCCGGCUCAACUGGGGAGGGUCACGCGAUACUGAUCGACUGGAAGGCAGGAGAGGGUAGUGGAAUUCCCGGUGUAGUGGUGAAAUGCGUAGAUAUCGGGAGGAACACCAGUGGCGAAGGCGACUACCUGGCCUGUUCUUGACGCUGAGGCGCGAAAGCUAGGGGAGUAAACGGG